GUUCUUGAAAUUUAAAAAAUUUGGCGGUAUUUUAGUCUCUUUAAAAUGAACAUGCCCUAUAAUUGAUACUCCACGAUUAAUUGUCCUUAAAUUAAAAGUUUAUAUAUCGUCGUAGUUGAAUACCUUAUAAGAGAGAAAGUAUUCAAUAUUUAUAAUUUUAUAAAUAAAAUCAGAUCAAGAUAUAGCUUAUAUUUAAGAAGAGGUGUGUUACAUUAAAAUUAUUUAUGGUUAUAAUAAUUAAAAUUAUUAUAUAAAUUGGAUUUAAAAGUAAUAUAUUUAAGUUAAAAUAUAUGAUUUAAGCUCUGAGAUAUGCACAUAUCGCCCGUCGCUUCCAAUGAAUGUUAAAUUGGAAUAAGUCGUAACAUAGUAGGUGUACCGGAAGGUGUACCUAGUUUGACAAAUUAAAGCUUUAUAAAAGUAUUUUAUUUACAUUAAAAAGAUAUUUGUGAAAUUCAAAUUAAUUUGAAUUUAAAUAUUUAUUAUAAAUUUUAAUAAAAUAUAAUUUUAAAAAAAAUAUUUUUUUGUUUAUUUAUUAAUUUAGAUAAAAUUAUUUUUAUGAUAGUUUAUUAGUAUAGUGAUAGAAUAUUGAAAAAUUUGAAAAUUAAAAUGUUUAAAAGAAAAAUUUAUUUUUUGUACCUUGUGUAUCAGGGUUUAUUAAUUAUUAAUUAUUUAAGAAUUAAUUUUCUCGAAUUUAAAAGAGCUAAGAAAUUAUAUAUUUUAUUGUAAAAAAAAAUAUUUAUAAUAAUUUUUUAGAAAUGAAACGUUAGUCGUUUUUAAAUUUAUCUAGUUUUUUAAGAAAUAAAUUUAAUUUAAUUAUUAAUUUUAAUUAAAAUAAUUAGUUAUUUUAAAUUAAUAUUAAUAAUAAAUAUUUUAAGGGAUAAGCUUUAAAAUAAAAUUUUUAUAAAUUAUAAUUGUAUUUAAUAUAAAUUAAUAGGAUUAGAAUUUUUUAUUUUUAAUAGUAUGUUAUAAUAAAUUUAUAUUAAAAUUUAAUUUUUAUAUAAUUUUAAAUUAUUUAUUAAAAUUAUUUAUUAAAUUAUAAAUUAAAUGGGAUAAUGAUAAAAUUAGUAUAAAUUUAAUGUUUAAUUAUUUUAUAAUAAUAAAGGUUAAGUUAAGGAAUUCGGCAAAUAUUUUUUCUGCCUGUUUAUUAAAAACAUGUCUUUUUGAUUAUAAUUUAAAGUCUAACCUGCCCUAUGAAAUUUAAAUGGCCGCGGUAUUUUGACCGUGCAAAGGUAGCAUAAUCAUUAGUUUUUUAAUUAAGAACUGGAAUGAAUGGUUGGACAAGAAAAAUACUGUCUCAAUUUAAUUUAAAUUAGAAUUUUAUUUUUAAGUUAAAAAGCUUAAAUAGAAUUAAAAGACGAGAAGACCCUAUAGAGUUUAAUAUUAUAAAUUUUAUAUAAAUUUUAAGAAUUAAUAAUUUAAUUAUAGUUUAUAAUAU
rnacentral:rRNA from 1 species